rnacentral:rRNA from 1 species
CGAAUGCUGACAUAAGUAACGAUAAAGCGGGUGAAAAGCCCGCUCGCCGGAAGACCAAGGGUUCCUGUCCAACGUUAAUCGGGGCAGGGUGAGUCGACCCCUAAGGCGAGGCCGAAAGGCGUAGUCGAUGGGAAACAGGUUAAUAUUCCUGUACUUGGUGUUACUGCGAAGGGGGGACGGAGAAGGCUAUGUUGGCCGGGCGACGGUUGUCCCGGUUUAAGCGUGUAGGCUGGUUUUCCAGGCAAAUCCGGAAAAUCAAGGCUGAGGCGUGAUGACGAGGCACUACGGUGCUGAAGCAACAAAUGCCCUGCUUCCAGGAAAAGCCUCUAAGCAUCAGGUAACAUCAAAUCGUACCCCAAACCGACACAGGUGGUCAGGUAGAGAAUACCAAGGCGCUUGAGAGAACUCGGGUGAAGGAACUAGGCAAAAUGGUGCCGUAACUUCGGGAGAAGGCACGCUGAUAUGUAGGUGAAGUCCCUCGCGGAUGGAGCUGAAAUCAGUCGAAGAUACCAGCUGGCUGCAACUGUUUAUUAAAAACACAGCACUGUGCAAACACGAAAGUGGACGUAUACGGUGUGACGCCUGCCCGGUGCCGGAAGGUUAAUUGAUGGGGUCAGCGCAAGCGAAGCUCUUGAUCGAAGCCCCGGUAAACGGCGGCCGUAACUAUAACGGUCCUAAGGUAGCGAAAUUCCUUGUCGGGUAAGUUCCGACCUGCACGAAUGGCGUAAUGAUGGCCAGGCUGUCUCCACCCGAGACUCAGUGAAAUUGAACUCGCUGUGAAGAUGCAGUGUACCCGCGGCAAGACGGAAAGACCCCGUGAACCUUUACUAUAGCUUGACACUGAACAUUGAGCCUUGAUGUGUAGGAUAGGUGGGAGGCUUUGAAGUGUGGACGCCAGUCUGCAUGGAGCCGACCUUGAAAUACCACCCUUUAAUGUUUGAUGUUCUAACGUGGACCCGUGAUCCGGGUUGCGGACAGUGUCUGGUGGGUAGUUUGACUGGGGCGGUCUCCUCCUAAAGAGUAACGGAGGAGCACGAAGGUUGGCUAAUCCUGGUCGGACAUCAGGAGGUUAGUGCAAUGGCAUAAGCCAGCUUGACUGCGAGCGUGACGGCGCGAGCAGGUGCGAAAGCAGGUCAUAGUGAUCCGGUGGUUCUGAAUGGAAGGGCCAUCGCUCAACGGAUAAAAGGUACUCCGGGGAUAACAGGCUGAUACCGCCCAAGAGUUCAUAUCGACGGCGGUGUUUGGCACCUCGAUGUCGGCUCAUCACAUCCUGGGGCUGAAGUAGGUCCCAAGGGUAUGGCUGUUCGCCAUUUAAAGUGGUACGCGAGCUGGGUUUAGAACGUCGUGAGACAGUUCGGUCCCUAUCUGCCGUGGGCGCUGGAGAACUGAGGGGGGCUGCUCCUAGUACGAGAGGACCGGAGUGGACGCAUCACUGGUGUUCGGGUUGUCAUGCCAAUGGCACUGCCCGGUAGCUAAAUGCGGAAGAGAUAAGUGCUGAAAGCAUCUAAGCACGAAACUUGCC